rnacentral:lncRNA from 1 species
UAGCCACUGGACUCUGCACCGCCCAGCACGCCCUGACCCAAUAUGGCUGUUUGCCCUGGGAAGGUCGCCUGCAAUGGAGGAGUGAAGAAAAAAGACCGAGACAGAGCAAAGGGACAAAGCAGAGAGGAAGAAAAGGAGCUUAGGCACCGGGGAGCUGACUCAUGGCUUUGGAAACCAAGAGGUAAGCAGACCGAGCCUCAUUGUCAGAAUCAGGACAGAAUUAGGAAGAUGGCUUUGAUCUCAGCAUCCAGGUGCCUCUUCCUUGCCCUUUCAGAGUCACACUCCUUCCCAAGAGUCCAAGGUCACAGGCCAAGGGCUCUGGCAGUUUUGGCCAUAAACCUGCUCCUGACCCGACCACGGUCAAGUUCAAGGGCAUCAGGAAGGCAGCAUGGAGACUGAACACAAUCCACAGGUUUCUGAGCGCCCCAUCUGUGCGCCUCUCCGUCAAAUACUGCAGCAGCUUGCAACUUAAUUGGUUUUCCCCACUUCUUUGUUUAUGCGAGAAAAUAAAAAUGAUUUGAUCCCCAAAUCGAGGGGAAAUGGAUCAGAAAUAAAGGCAGAAUGAGUCUGUUCUGUGUUCGGUGUGGAUGGAGGUGGGAAGCUCAAUAAACACAGCAUUUCCACCACUGUGGCAAGCACUGAUGAGAAGCGAGGGCUCGCCCUGCACGGGGGUUGGCAGCCCUGUACCCUGUGGAACGAGAAGAGCAUCAAAC